rnacentral:rRNA from 1 species
CCUACGGGUGGCAGCAGUGGGGGAUAUUGCACAAUGGGGGAAACCCUGAUGCAGCGACGCCGCGUGGGCGAAGAAGUAUUUCGGUAUGUAAAGCCCUAUCAGCAGGGAAGAAGAAAUGACGGUACCUGAGUAAGAAGCACCGGCUAAAUACGUGCCAGCAGCCGCGGUAAUACGUAUGGUGCAAGCGUUAUCCGGAUUUACUGGGCGUAAAGGGCGCGUAGGUGGGCGCUUAAGUCAGGUGUGAAAACUCCGGGCUCAACCUGGAGACUGCACUUGAAACUGGGUGUCUUGAGGGCAGGAGAGGAGAGUGGAAUUCCUAGUGUAGCGGUGAAAUGCGUAGAUAUUAGGAGGAACACCAGUGGCGAAGGCGACUUUCUGGACUGUACCUGACGCUGAGGCGCGAAAGCGUGGGUAGCGAACGGGAUUAGAUACCCUGGUAGUC